rnacentral:rRNA from 1 species
UGGCGGAAUGCUUUACACAUGCAAGUCGAACGGCAGCACGGACUUCGGUCUGGUGGCGAGUGGCGAACGGGUGAGUAAUAUAUCGGAACGUAUCCAAUAAUGGGGGAUAACUAAUCGAAAGGUUGGCUAAUACCGCAUACGCCCUACGGGGGAAAGCUAGGGAUCUUCGGACCUGGCGUUAAUGGAGCGGCCGAUAUCUGAUUAGCUAGUUGGUGGGGUAAAGGCCCACCAAGGCGACGAUCAGUAGCUGGUCUGAGAGGACGACCAGCCACACUGGAACUGAGACACGGUCCAGACUCCUACGGGAGGCAGCAGUGGGGAAUUUUGGACAAUGGGCGCAAGCCUGAUCCAGCCAUUCCGCGUGAGUGAAGAAGGCCUUCGGGUUGUAAAGCUCUUUCGCAAGGGAAGAAAACUUAUCCUCUAACAUAGGAUGAGGUUGACGGUACCUUGAUAAGAAGCACCGGCUAACUACGUGCCAGCAGCCGCGGUAAUACGUAGGGUGCGAGCGUUAAUCGGAAUUACUGGGCGUAAAGCGUGCGCAGGCUGUUUUGUAAGUCAGAUGUGAAAUCCCUGAGCUCAACUUAGGAACUGCGUUUGAAACUACAAGACUAGAAUAUGUCAGAGGGGGGUAGAAUUCCACGUGUAGCAGUGAAAUGCGUAGAGAUGUGGAGGAAUACCAAUGGCGAAGGCAGCCCCCUGGGAUAAUAUUGACGCUCAUGCACGAAAGCGUGGGGAGCAAACAGGAUUAGAUACCCUGGGAGUCCACGCCCUAAACGAUGUCUACUAGUUGUUGGUGGAGUAAAAUCCAUGAGUAACGCAGCUAACGCGUGAAGUAGACCGCCUGGGGA